ensembl:lncRNA
CUCUGUCUUCAUUAGAGGAUCUGCUGGCACAGGAAACAUCAGCGGGAAUGUCUAACAGAGGACCAAGCGGAGAGUAUUACCGCCGCGAUGAUGGCCACAGAGACGAUCUCCAAGGAGGCGGUCGCCACAUAGACGAUGGCUACGGAGGGCCUCGCCAACAAGACGAUACCUACAGAGGGAGUCAGCGCACGGACGACAGUAGCUACUGUGCAGUACAGUGCGAGCGUCACGACGACUGCACGAUGAUCGCCAGCCAUAGCAGCUGGUGGUCAUGGUGUACAGUUUUGUAACGUGCCAGCUGUUCUCGCUGACACUGCAGGAUCAUGUUUACUGUAAAAGACGUCACCAAUAAACUAUAAACAACCAAUCAGGCGUCUCCUCUUCUUCUGUCACACCAGCUGACUUCAUGUCCUCCCAGCACAUCUAUGUCUCCUCUUUGACCUCUUGCCUGGCAGCUGUCCCUCCUCUGCACACGUCCAAACCCUUAAACCUGCGUCUCCUCUACCUCCAUCCUCACCUGAGAAAUGACUAACGUCCUCCUUGCUGUUGUUGUAAUGAACGUUCUGAGGUCUUCAUGACACACUGUGAUGAGUCCACGCUCACACUCUGCUGCCAGCCUCUUCUUCUUCUUCUGUCUGACCUCAGGCGACCUGCAGAGACGGACAGAGUCAGUGCUGAUGUCCACACUCAUGUGACUGCACUUUCUUUUGGUGUUUGAUGUUCUUCUGACACAUCUGUGAGAUGAGCAGCAUGGAUGUUUGUGUUGUUUGGGAAUGUUUCACAGUCAACGCCUCUUCCACUGAACAGUGCGGACGUGCCAGAGUAUUUAAAGGAAGAGCAUCAGCAUCAUUCUGACAGAAGGCACAGCUGUGGACUGCUGCUCCGGUCAGGUGAGUACAACAUUCUGGUUUCUCUCCUUAGUUUGAACAGAGGAUAAACAGAUGAAAGGGUUUUAUUCCAGAGGCGGUGAUGCGUUUGAUGUCUUGCUUUGGAUCUGACAGAACAUACGUAAACAGAUAUGUGUUUCUAAAGGAUAAUGUCGUGCAGAUAUCGAGCCUGUAAGCCUCUGUGUAUCUUGUCAAACUGGUUUAACUGACAUGUGAACGGGCUCCUCCCUGUGUGCUGCAGUCCUGAUUCAUUAAAGGAUCGUCUGACAC